rnacentral:rRNA from 1 species
GAUGAACGCUGGCGGCGUGCUUAACACAUGCAAGUCGAACGGAAAGACGCUAAGCUUGCUGGUUUCACGCUUGCGGCGGAUGUGUGUGAAACACGCGAAUCAUCUCCCUGAAUUUCUGGGAAAAUCUCGAAAAGCCGGAUCAAACCCGAGAGUAAAUCCUGAUCCACGUAGUUCAUUGGAGAAUUUCGGCGGUGGGGUCACGAAUAGAUGGUUCUUCGCUGCAUGAGCUAGUUGGUGAGGUAACGGCUUACCAAGGGGACGAUGCGUAGCCGAACUGAGAGGGUGAUCGGCCACACUGGAACUGAGACACGGUCCAGACUCCUACGGGAGGCAGCAGUAGGGAAUCUUCGGCAAUGGGCGAAAGCCUGACGCAGCAACGCCGCGUGAGUGAUGAAGGCCUUCGGAUCGUAAAACUCUGUUAUUAGGGAAAAACAGAUGUGUAAGUAGCUGUGCACAUCUUGACGGUACCUGAUGAAGAAGCAACGGCUAACUACGUG